UUAGUGGCGAACGGGUGAGUAACACGUGGGCAAUCUGCCCUGCACUCUGGGACAAGCCCUGGAAACGGGGUCUAAUACCGGAUAUGACUGUCCAUCGCAUGGUGGAUGGUGUAAAGCUCCGGCGGUGCAGGAUGAGCCCGCGGCCUAUCAGCUUGUUGGUGAGGUAGUGGCUCACCAAGGCGACGACGGGUAGCCGGCCUGAGAGGGCGACCGGCCACACUGGGACUGAGACACGGCCCAGACUCCUACGGGAGGCAGCAGUGGGGAAUAUUGCACAAUGGGCGAAAGCCUGAUGCAGCGACGCCGCGUGAGGGAUGACGGCCUUCGGGUUGUAAACCUCUUUCAGCAGGGAAGAAGCGAAAGUGACGGUACCUGCAGAAGAAGCGCCGGCUAACUACGUGCCAGCAGCCGCGGUAAUACGUAGGGCGCAAGCGUUGUCCGGAAUUAUUGGGCGUAAAGAGCUCGUAGGCGGCUUGUCAC
rnacentral:rRNA from 1 species